AGGGCGUAUGGUGGAUGCCUUGGCAUUAGAAGCUGAUGAAGGACGUGACUAACUACGAUAUGCUUCGGGGAGAUGUACGUAAUCUUUGAUCCGGAGAUUUCCGAAUGGGGGAACCCACUAGUGGUAAUGCACUAGUAUCACAUAAUGAAUAUAUAGUUAUGUAGAAAGCAACCCAGUGAACUGAAACAUCUUAGUAACUGGAGGAACAGAAAGAAAAAUCGAUUUCCUUAGUAGUGGCGAGCGAAACGGAAAGAGCCCAAACCGACUUUAGAGUCGGGGUUGUAGGACCUCUCUAUAAGAGUUACAAAUUCAUAACAUAGUUGAACUUUUCUGGAAAGUUAGACGAAACAAGGUGAUAGUCCUGUAAACGAAAUGUUAUGAACUCUUUGAGGUAUCCUGAGUACAACGAGACACGAGAAAUCUUGUUGGAAUCUGCGGGGACCAUCCCGUAAGGCUAAAUACUCUCUAAUGACCGAUAGUGAACAAGUACCGUGAGGGAAAGGUGAAAAGAACCCCGGGAGGGGAGUGAAAUAGAAACUGAAACCGUAUGCUUACAAAAAGUUCGAGCACAUUAAUGUGUGAGAGCGUGCCUUUUGCAGAAUGAACCGGCGAGUUAUUGUAUUAUGCAAGGUUAAGUCGAACAGAUGGAGCCGAAGCGAAAGCGAGUCUGAAUAGGGCGCUUAAGUAUGAUGCAAUAGACCCGAAACCGAGUGAUCUAGCCAUGAGCAGGUUGAAGUUGGGGUAAGACCCAAUGGAGGACCGAACCGAUAUGCCCGGAAACGCGUACGGAUGACUUGUGGUUAGCGGAGAAAUUCCAAACGAACUCGGAGAUAGCUGGUUCUCCCCGAAAUAGGUUUAGGCCUAGCCUUGAUUGAAUCUGCCUGGAGGUAGAGCACUGAAUGUGCGAUGGCGUCGUCUAGAUGUACUGAGUACAAUCAAACUCCGAAUGCUGGGUAGUACUAAUCAGGAGUCACUGUAUGGGUGAUAACGUCCAUACGGGAGAGGAAAAGAAUCCGGAUCGCCAGCUAAGGUCCCAAAAUUUGUGUUAAGUGGGAAAGGAUGUAGAGUUGUCAAAACAGCUAGGAGGUUGGCUUAGAAGCAGCCACCCUUUAAAGAGUGCGUAAUAGCUCACUAGUCGAGUGACACUGCGCCGAAGAUGUACCGGGGCUAAACACAAUACCGAAGCUGCGGACUUGUACAUAAGUGCAAGUGGUAGGGGAGCGUUCUAAGUGCUGAGAAGGUAGACCGUAAGGACUGCUGGAGCGCUUAGAAGUGAGAAUGCCGGUGUGAGUAACGAAAAUUGGGUGAGAAUCCCAUUCACCGUUUGACUAAGGGUUCCUGGGUAAAGUUCGUCUUCCCAGGGUAAGUCAGGACCUAAGAUGAGGCUGAAAAGCGUAGUCGAUGGACAACAGGUUGAUAUUCCUGUACCACCUAUAUGACUGAAGGAGUGACGGAGAAAGCUAGUGAGAGCCAGUUAAUGGAUUCUGGUCUAAGUGCGUAGGCUAGUAUGUUGGCAAAUCCGCAAUACUAUAAUAGCUGAAACAUGAUGGGGAAGAGAGUCUUCGGACAAUCGAACUUUCAUGAUGCUAGGCUUCCAAGAAAAGCUUCUAGGGUUAAUCAUAUAGGUGCCUGUACCGACAACCGACACAGGUGGUCAAGGAGAGUAUCCUAAGGUGAGCGAGAGAACUAUGGUUAAGGAACUCGGCAAAAUGACCCCGUAACUUCGGGAGAAGGGGUGGUCUAGCGAUAGACCCGCAGUGAAUAGGCCCAGGCAACUGUUUACCAAAAACACAGGUCUCUGCUAACACGUAAGUGGAUGUAUAGGGGCUGACGCCUGCCCAGUGCUGGAAGGUUAAAGAGAUUAGUUAGUAUGACGUAAGUCGAUAAUACGAAGCUUUGAACUGAAGCCCCAGUGAACGGCGGCCGUAACUAUAACGGUCCUAAGGUAGCGAAAUUCCUUGUCAGGUAAGUUCUGACCCGCACGAAAGGCGUAAUGAUCUGGGUACUGUCUCAACCAUAGACUCGGUGAAAUCUUAAUACCUGUGAAAAUGCAGGUUACCCGCGACUGGACGGAAAGACCCCGUGGAGCUUUACUGUAGCUUGAUAUUGGAAUUCGGUAAACUAUGUAGAGCAUAGGUGGGAGACUAUGAGAUUAAGGCGCCAGCCUUAAAGGAGUCACCAUUGGAAUACCACCCUUAGUUUAUUGGAUUUCUAACCUAGGACCAUAAUCUGGUUCAGGGACAGUGUCUGGUGGGCAGUUUGACUGGGGCGGUCGCCUCCUAAAGAGUAACGGAGGCGUUCAAAGGUUCCCUCAGAAUGGUUGGAAAUCAUUCAAAGAGC
rnacentral:rRNA from 1 species